AUAAUAAUAAUUUGCUAGAAAUCUCAUCAUAGCCUUUAUUGUUUCUAAGGAAAUUGCUUGUGGGGGUGGGAAAUCCAAACUCUCAAAACAAUAUAGGUUAUUGUCAUGGCCCUUGGUUAUCUCCCAGAACUUAAAGGUAAGACCCUAUUCCUGAAGACACCAUACACUUCUGCCACAGGACUUGGAGGAAUCAAGGCAGAACUGACCCAGAAACCUCUUUCCUGAGGACUGGCUCUCAUAGUAUUAGAAGAUGCUGUGCACGAAAUCAGUACUCUUACCUGGUUGUUAAGCCUAAGAACCACAACAAUGAGCAACGUUGCAAGACAUCCCCAGUGGUGAUAUGGCAUUUUUUCCCUUGGGACUAACCAACAGCUGUCUAAUUGGAUUUAAUGUCUUUAAGGUCAGUGCAGCACUCACCCAUCUUCAAAGUAGCUUCUUUCUAUGCAGAAGAGGGCUACUGUAGAGACCCACAGCUGGACAGAGCUUGGAGAACAGGGGCCCAGGCUACAACACAAUCCCUGCACUUAAAGCUCUUGGAACUUUGCAGAAGAGGAGGCAGAAAGAUUGUGGAAGCCAGAAGACAAGGACACCUGCUGCUUGGUAGUGUCUUCUCAACAUAACAGGGAAGCUACACCCAUGAAGUUUCAGCAAUCUGAUUACCUAAACAAGAUCUACAUAAUGAUAACACCCAAACACAUAAAAUAAAAAUAAAGGUUAAAUUUUUAAGUCCAUUUUAUGAAAAAACUAUAAAACUAGAUAUGGUAAGUGGCACAUGCCUGUAAUCCCAGCAUUUGGGAGGUAUAGACAGAAGGAUCAAGAAUUCAGGGUCGGCUGGUCACACGCCUUUAAUCCCAGCACUCGGGAGGCAGAGGCAGGUGGAUCUCUGUGAGUUCGAGGCCAGCCUGGUCUACAAGAGCUAGUUCCAGGACAGCCUCCAAAGCCACAGAGAAACCCUGUCUCGGGGGAAAAAAAAGUCUUUCUCAGGUACUUAGAAAGUUCCAGGCUUGUCUGAGAUAUGUGAGACCUUGUCUUUUUUUUCUUUUUCUUUUCUUUUUUUUUUUUGAAUUUUCCCUCUCUUUUACCUUGAUUUGUUAUAUCUCAUAUCAUUUUAUUUUCUUGAAGUUCUUCCUAGCCCUCCCAUCUUCCCAUGUUCCCCACCAACAACCCCCGCCUCCCUUGUCUUAAUAACUAAAUAAAUAACAUGACAGCUGAGUAAGACCUGUAUGUUACCUAUGCAGGAGGCUGAAACAAAACAAGCCUGCAGACCUCCACACUUAAAAAAAAAAAAAAA